AGCCUGGAUGAAUUGCUUUAAUUUCUGACACCUUGUAUGCAAGCUGCACAUGCAGUCUGAUUAUUUUGCAAAACUAAGACUU
rnacentral:snoRNA from 1 species